UUUUUUUUUUUUUUGUUGUAAAUGCUGUGUCCAACGUUUAGGGACAGGGACGCAAGUUCGGACACGGAUGGAAUGCCAGUAGAGGAGAGGCGCAAGCUGCAGAAACAGGAGGAGGCUCUGCAUGCCAGCAGUCUCCGGGUUCCCCGCAGGUACAGUUGUAUGACAGUUGAUUUCCUAUAUGUGAUGUUUAUUUGAGCUAUAUGCAUGCUAUUGUGGUUUAGCUACUGAUAUGCUGUUUCAAUGAUGGGAUGCAGGCCUCCUUGGAAUGCUCAGAUGUCAGUGGAAGAACUUGAUUCCAAUGAAAAUCAGGCCUUUCUAGAGUGGCGGAGGAAUCUUGCAAGGUCAGCAAUAAUGAUUUUAGGAUCAUGAACACAUUAUAAAUGUAUUUAAAAAGUUCAUCUAUUAUGUGAUUUUAGAAAAAAAACAUCAGUUUUUUAACCCAUUUCAAUAUGCUGCUUUUAGUUUAUCUUCUGGUGCAAUUCUAGUAGGAAUUUCAUGUAGUUGGUCAUACAACUGCCUGCCUAUAGGAGUUUGGGGCCAUGGCAUCUGGUCAUUGACCCAAUUAUUGUCCAUCUUUGGACUGGCUUCCUUGCAAUUGAAUGUAGUUGAUUCCUCAAACUCAACCCAAAAGACGUGGUUGAUUAGAGAAUCAUGGGAGAUCACCGAGGGUCCAAAGGGAAUGGAGAACAGGGUGCAAAUUAUAUCUUUUGAAAAGAGCCAUCUUUGUUGUUUUGCUUUCUUAUAUGGGUUUAAUCUUCCCUACACAGAGGAACAGAGAGUGUGUCUUCCAUAGUUAUUGACCAUUUUUUCUUUAUUAACAUAAUUAAGAAAUGGUGGCACCUGAAACAUGAUUGACCACCUCCUUUCUCUUUUGAUCCAAUCAGGAAUCAUUUGUUAGGUCUUAACUCUUAACUCAGUGUUUAACUCAUCAUAAAGCUCAAUGCAUUACUCCAAUAUUUGAUAAUUAAUUAUAUAAGGCCAGCCUGUUCACUUUCAGUUAAAAAAUCAUGUGCAGCACAUGUGAUACUUGUGAAGAAUUUCAAUGAAAAAACCUCUUCCAAAUGAUGGUUUUCUAGGGUUAACAAGGGGUUUAUGUAUUAUCUUGUAUAAUUGGAAGGACAAAUUGGUUAGUCACACUACUUCACUAGUGGGUUUUUUCACUAGAUUAAUGUCUAAUAAGUAUAAUAAGAAAGGUAGAUUGAUAUCUGAUCUACCUUGCAGUUAGUAAUUAGCUAAAAGCUUGCAUCAUGCUGUGUAAAUGAUUCAAUAACUCUCCUCUAAAGUGAUGCCUGGACUUAACUAAUAGUUUCCAGAACCUGAGGGGUUAAGAGGGGGACCAUAAUGAUUUCAGCUGAACAAGGGACAUAGAUUACCAGUUGAUUUUAAUUUAAAUUAUGAUAUAUCUGUUGGGUUGUUGCAAAUAGUGUUUCUUUAGGUUUUAACAGGACACAAAGGUCUAGUUUACCUCUUUUAUGUUAUCUUCUGCUUCUUUGAACUGCAGAUGUAAUUACUGGUUUGAUUUCUUCAGGAUUAUCUUCAUCUGGUUUUCAAUUAUCAGAUUCCCAAGUCACAUCCAGCAUAUUUGACAUUGGAAAUCAGUGUUAUAUCUUCUUGUUACUAUUAGCAACAUAAUUAUGUUUUUAUAAGAUAUAAGUAUUAGAUAAACAUAAUUAGGCUUCCACUCCUUUGGGCUAGUUAUGUUUUUUUUUUUUUUUUUAUCAAAUAGAUUUGAUGCUCUUUGGUUAAUUUCAUUUCACUUCGAAGUAGUGGCUUGUUAUCGCCUUUCAUGAACUGUUUAGUUUUAUUGUUAGUUCAUUUUGGCUGCCUGAUUGUACCCCAUCCUGUAGUUGAUUGGGGUUUUGUUUUCCUUCUAUUUAUUCAUGUAUGAAAUGAGUCAGUUGGAGAGUUGUUUUCUUAAGCUACCUCUCGUGUCGAACUGCUAAAGUUUGGUUCAUUUCUUAGUUACUGACCUUGAGUUAUGUUUGCUUUUAUCUACUUGCCUUUACAAUCUCAAAUUUUGCUCAUUUUUCUAGACUAGAGGAGAAUGAUAAACUUGUACUUACUCCUUUCGAGAAAAACCUGGACAUCUGGAGACAGCUUUGGAGAGUGCUUGAAAGAAGUGACCUAGUAAAGUUUUCUCACCUAAACUGGGAUUUGAGAAAUUAUAGUUGAAUUCUUAGUUUCUCUAUGUUGCUCAAUGCGAAUCCUUAUUGGAGUUUCUUAUUUGUUUGGCAAGUUGUUUCUCUAGUUCAGUUGUUCUGGUUUGCAUGACAUAUCAACUAUGUGAUAGUUAAAAAAAAGAAAAAGAAAAACUAUGUGAUAGUAGUUUCGUUAGUUAACAUAAUGAUGAUUCACUGACUCCUUUCAUUUGGGAGGAUAACUUAUAUAGAGCUACUAAGUUUAUAACUACUAACCUCUUCUUUUCUUAUUUCAGAUGUUACAUUACCUUUAUAUGUCAUUUUAGUUUGAUUGUUAGAUUGAUUUCUUGGUAUACAUUUCUUUUGGCAUCUAUUGUAGACAAAAUCAAGUAGAUUGAGUUGUGCCCAAAGUUUCAACUGCUGGUUGAACUUGGUACAAAUCUACUGGUAGACCAUAUAUCUCAGUAUCAACUAACUAUUUACUUUUAGUUAUUAUUUUUUAGCGAUACCGAAUGGUACAGGUUAGUAUGUCAGUAUCGUACUAAUCUGACAAGGUGUUAAAAGUAGCAUCUGAGCAAGAAUUAAAACCUUGGUUAUGCUUAUGCUAAGUUUGAUCGAUCCCAUAUCAAGUUUAUUUUCUCUUUUCUUUUUUCCUAUCAUCCUGUGUAUAUAUAUUUUUGAAUGGUUAUUAUUUCAUGUAUUGCUUAUUGUUUCUUUCUAGAAUGAGUUAUGUGUCUACAAUUGACCUUCUAAAAUAUGUUCUCAUUGGUUUGAAGAAUUGGAUCCGUUUCUUUUGUUGUUAGUUGCCUUCCAAUACCCCUGUAUAAUCUAUCAUGCAGCUAAUUGGCCUUGUCUUUUGUUUUAGGUUUGUGUGUUUUUUACUCACCAUGAUGUCUUUGAAGUUAUAUUGGUUUCUUAGUUUUCUUAAUCUACCAGUAAGCCUUUUAUGAAGUCAAAUCAGCAAGCACUGUGUACUUAUUUGACUAGUGUCGCGAGGUGAGUACAAGGACAGAAAUAAUUGGAGAAGAAAAUGCAAAUAAUAGAAAAGAAAAAGAAAUUACUAAAAUCACUGAAAUCUCAAGCUAUACAUUAAGCUGUGACCUGAUAAUUGGAAAAGUCUUCCAUGAACUUUGAGCAUCUAAUAUUUUCAUAUUCUGAGGCUUGAAUUUCAAUGAUAAUGACAAUGUGCUUCAUGCAACAACCACAAUUUGCUCUAUGCAUAUUACAUCUGUAUAGCAUAUAAAUGGGAUGAAGGCCUACUUACUUUUUCAAUGUUGAAAACUUUUCUCUGAGAAAGUUCAGUGUUGUGUUCUGGUUGUAUUUACAUUCUUUUGUGCUGUGCAUGUUAACUCCAACUGUUAACAGCCGAACUUAUUUUUGAAAUAUUUUAAAAGGUUUUUCAUAUUAUAAUGGAUGGAGCAUUUAAAAUAUUAGUAUAAUAAGCUUGACCUGGUUUGGAUAAUUUCAAGCAAUGCAAUACAUGAAAAAAAUAGUUUUCAUUUGAUCAUUGUAAGAGUCAUUUUCGUUCUUACCAGUAAAUAAAUGAACAAAUAUAAUCCUAUUCCUCUCAACAUUUUAGUUACAACUCCUCUGUCAUUUCAAUAAUUUUAUGUCCAGUAAUUUAGCUUUUGUUAGCAGACAAAGGAUAUUCAAUAUCAUUAACAGGAAUGUACUCAUUGAUUUAAGAAAUGAUCAUUAUAUGCACCCUCAAGUACCACUUCCUUGAUAUAUACAAGUUUUGGAAUAAGUUUGCUCAUCUUAUAUAUUUGAAAGGUCUUGAGCUAUUUAUAAUGAUUAUACUAUUUCUUAACAAGUGGCACAUAUCUUAUCCACUGUUCUGUGUUUUAUAGAAAGAUGAUUAAUUAUUUCAUAUGUAUCUUGUACAUAUGUGCAUGUCAUAUUAUCCCUAACAGAGUCCUAAAGCUAUGCCACUUUUUUAUUAGUGAAAUUGAUUAAGUAUCACAAUGAGCAUGUUGGUAUUAAAUGUAAAGAGAUUGCCCAUAGAUUGCUAAAAUGAUCACGUUAUAGGUAAAGUAUUCUACAACUGAUUUCCGACUGUCUAAAUAAUCCAUUUCUAUUCUAAUGGGAAAAAGAUUAUCCGCUCUGAAAAUGGACCAUGUGGAAUAGCUUAUGAGAUUGGAAGCCAAACUUAGGCUUAGUAUGCAUGUACCUCUGACAUUCCCUUGUGAUAUAUGGAUGUAGAUGUUUGACGCUGCUGUAUGGUUCAGGUAUGAGCAGUGUGGUUGAUGUUAUGAACUCAAUCACAUGAAUUACCAUUCAGGCAGUAAAAUUAAGUGCAACUGAGAAAAGUAAAAGUUUGACCAUGUCUUUUAACUCUGUAUAGUUAUAUGUAUUAAUGCCAUGGUGUUUUCUGUUGAUAUCCUGUUACAUUUUUCUGUUAAAUUCGUUUACAUUAUAAAUACUUAAGACAUUUAUAUUCAGUUAAUAUUUGAGGACUAAUACCAUUAAAUUUUUAGCUUGUUAUGGUGGUUGAUGCUCGGGAUCCAUUGUUUUACCGUUGUCCAGAUCUUGAGGUAUGCAUUUCUUUCCAUUUUUAGUUUAUGAUGUUUCUAUUCUUUUCUUUGUUUUAUUAUUUGUGAGUAAAAAAUUGUGCUUUUGUUUUGUCAAAUUCUGCACUACAAGUGCAAGUUACUUUCUCAGUUGAAUACCUUUUUAUAAAAUACCCUGGUCAUUUACUGAUUUUAAUAACAAACUAAUUGACACAAUAUAAUAGUGUGACUUUAAUAUUUUAUAAUAGAUUUCAAAACCAGAUAUAUGGGGAAUAUUGAUAUUAUUAGAUAAUGAGAGAACCUUGGCCUUUCGACCCAGAUCCUACCUGCAUAAAAUCUGAGCACUUCAUUCGAAAUAGGAGGGGCUGCAUUAGGAUGAAACCACUCAGCUAGUGUUUUUCUUUUAAUGAGUCAACAGAAACUUGAGUCCCAGUGGAACUCAAAUUCUAAGGCAUGCAUCAUGUGUGUGAAAAGCUAGUUCCCUUUAUCAUGGGCCUUACACAGUUUAAUUUAAAAUGUGCCCGUAGAUCCUUUUCUGUGACUGGAUAUUGAGUUAUACUGAUUCAAAGAUGCACUGGCUCAAGCUCCCAUUUUAUUUGUCAACUUGCAUUGGCUCAAGAUCCUUUCCUGUGACUGGAUAUUGAGUUAUACUUUGCUGUUCAUUAAUUAUAAUAUCUCUAGAUUGUUUGCCAUAAUUCACUGGCAAGUGAUUGCUUUUUUCUUUAUGAGAACUGCUGCUGGCUGUUCACUCUGAAAUGGUAUAUUGUGAUAUCUUAAAAUGUUUGGUUGAUCACCAGAUACGCAAAAAUUAUUUGUCCGAUCCCUAAUGUUAUCAAAUUUAGUCAUACUGCAGAUUUUAAGUUCAUAUUAGAUAUUUAUUUCUUGUUAUUUACCAGGAAUAUGCACGGGAAAUAGAUGAACACAAGAAAACACUGCUGCUUGUCAAUAAAGCAGAUCUUUUACCAAUUGCCAUAAGGUCAGAGGUUGUCUGAUUUUGUUAUUGCACUGAUGAUCAUCAAACCGAAGGGCUUCUUUUCUUAUCUUUUUUCUUUUCAACUUGAAUCCUGCAGACGUAAAUGGGCAGAGUACUUCAAUCAUCAUGGUAUUCUCUUUGUGUUUUGGUCUGCUAAAGCUGCUACUGCUGCUUUGGAAGGCAAACAGUUGAUCGGUCAAUUUGAAGAAGAGAAAGUGUCAAAAGAGCUCAGCCAGUCAGACUUGGACACCAAGAUAUACAGCAGGGAUGAGCUCUUGGCUCGUUUGCAGUCAGAAGCAGAGGCUAUCGCAGCGUAUGGGAGGUUCACAGACAAGGAAAGUCACAGUGGAAAAUAUUCAGAGACUAGUUCUAUAAAUCUAACAGCUAAGCAAGUUGUUGUGGGGUUCGUUGGUUAUCCAAAUGUUGGUAAAAGCUCUACAAUAAAUGCUUUGGUGGGACAAAAGCGGACUGGGGUUACAUCAACCCCUGGUAAGACUAAGCAUUUCCAAACACUGAUUAUCUCUGAUGAGCUUGUACUUUGUGACUGCCCUGGUCUAGUGUUCCCUUCCUUUUCCAGCUCAAGAUAUGAAAUGAUCGCAUCAGGAGUUCUGCCCAUUGAUCGGAUGACCGAACACAGGGAAGCAGUGCAGGUUGUAGCUAACAGGGUUCCCAGAAACGUCCUUGAGAGUGUAUACAACAUCACCUUGCCAAAGCCAAAGGCCUAUGAAGCACAAUCUCGACCACCCUUGUCCUCGGAGUUGCUCAGGACGUAUUGCUCAUCUCGUGGUUAUGUUAGCUCAAGUGGGCUGCCAGAUGAGACUAGAGCUGCACGUCAGAUCUUAAAAGACUAUGUGGAUGGGAAGCUUCCCCACUUUGAACUGCCACCUGGAGCAGAGACUGAAGAUGUAGAAGUGAAUGCAACAGAUGACAUGGUAGAUCCAAAUUUUCUGACAGAUAAUGAGCCAGAUGCUUGCGAUUCUGAUGAAGCUACUAUCUCCGAUAUCACUGGAGUUGAUGCCCGAGAACAUGCUCUAAGCAACGCUCUGAAUGAUCUAGAGUCAUUUGAUUUGGCCAGUGAACUCUCAUCGAAUAAAGCAGCUGCAGCAAAGAAGAAAAGCUCAGACUCCACACAUAAGCAUCAUAAGAAGCCCCAGAGGAAGAAAGACCGCUCCUGGAGGGUAGAAAAUGAUGAUGGUGAUGGAAUGCCCGUUGUAAGAGUGUUUCAAAAGCCUGCUGUUAAUUUGGCUAACAUAGGAGCCUCCAAUAGAUAGACUUUAUGUUUCUUUACAAUGUUUGGCAAAACAUAUCAUAAAAAUUGCUUGAUAAUGCCAAUAUAUCUUGAGCACUUGUAAAUUGUCAUUAGCCGAUGUUACUAUUUUUGGAUGUUGUAAUGUGAUUUUGAUAUUGGGAUAAAUCUCGCCCUGUAACUUUUUUACGUGGAGUUUUUUUUGGGCAAAAAGACUGGUUAUGAUCUUGAUGUACUGUUCCUAUAAUUGUUGCAUUAUUGAGUGAUUUCACUCCACAAGGUAAGAAAUUGGUUUUAUAUGCUAUGACCUUAACAAUGCAUGGUCCAUCAGUGAUUAUUUGGGAAAAGAAAUGAUGUAGCUCAAGAUACUUAUUUUGAAUUAAAGGUUCUUAUAAUCUAAUGUAAUCUUUUAUUUUAGACGUCCUAAACAAUUUCAAAUCAUAAAUGUCCAUAGAAUACUCGAUAGAGAUUAAAUAUUUUUCUCCUUAAUUUUUUUAGAUAAUUGAAAAUAAUAAAUUAUCAUUUAUCUUUGUUAGUUCGAGCACUCUUGAGGAAUUGUUUACAUGUUAGAUAAUUGGCUUGGUAAACUAUUCGAUUUAAAUUUCUUCUUGUAAAUAUUGAGUCUCGUUAAACUAUUCGAUUUAAAUUUCUUCUUGUCAAUAUUGAGUCUUGUCAUUCAAUUUUGAAACUAAUCCAUUUUAUAUUUUAUAUCGAGAUUACACUUUGGUUAACUAUUCGAUUUAAAUUUCUUCUUCUUAUAAAUGUUGAGUUUUGUCAUUUAAUUUCAAAACUAAUCCCCUUUAUAUUUUACAUGUCCUUUGAAACUUUUACGAGAUUAUACUUUGAUUGGUUAUUUACGAAUGAGUAUUACAAAAAGACCUUAUGACUUAGGUCAUUCCAACUAAAUUUAUGUCAUUUGAUAUUAAAGCCUAUAGACUUACGAGGGAUCAUUCAUUUUGAAUGAGCCUCACACCAUUUAAUCUUUUUCGGAUGAACAUUAAAAGGAUAUCUCCAAGAAUAAAUAUAACUCUUAACUCUGGUAAGAUUUUGAUUCCCUACUCCCCAAUCUACAUAAGUAUACUUAUAAGUAUACUCAAACAUCUGUUUGAGAAAGACAACACAGAACAUCUGUUUGAAAAGUAAAACAAGCUCAAUAAAAUAAAAUACAGAAAGCUUAACAUUAAUUUGAAUCCAAGCUAUCAAACUCAGUUCAAAUUGACUUAAAAAUGUAUCUUCUGCAAGGACACAACUUUCUAAUCAGUCAGAUUGGCUCUUGUAAUUGAUGGUCAUAACAUGAUGCUAGUAAAGAUAUUAUUAUAUCACUGAGGGAUUCUAUAAUAUAAGAAAUUUUAGUAUUUCUUGAAACUGGUCAUUAAGAUCUUGAGGUAGAUAUAAAUAUUUAAAUAUUAGUUUAAAAAAAUCAAUGUACUCAUGAUUAAGUUCAAUGUAGCAUAUAAGUGAAAAAUAAUUUUGAUUGUGUCACCAAAAUUUUCAUAAGGAUCCAAUAUAUAUUAAAAUCUAACAUCUUCUCUCAUGUGUAAGCUCAAUCUGAAACUAAACAUUGCACAAUUGUCAUAUCAUGAUAAAUAUUUUUGGUUUGGUUAGCAUGAAUCCUGAAAGUCUAAGCUAGCAAAAAGAAAAUUCAAUCACUAUUUAACUCUUAACAUUAGGGGAACCAAAUAAGAGAAAUGCUACUAAAAUGAUAAUUUCUCCUUCAAGCUGUUCUCAGUUGAUAUCUGAAAAUAUGCAGUGUUGAGCAAGUAAUAUAAGCAAGUAUAUCCAGCAGAUGCAGAUUACAUAGCCAUGAUUAAUAAACACAGUCCAUUAUCAUGGUAAAAAGCUUUAGAUUUCUUAAGCAUCUAAUGAUUCUUGGAACUCAUCACAACUUUGCUCCAUGGGUAGAUAGUGUCUCCUGAGCAUGUUCUCCAGAUCACUCAAAAGAUGCAGAGCUUAUAAGUAGUCAGUCCCCUGUUGUUGGAGAAGGAGACACUGGAGAUGAUCUACAACCUUGGCACAGGACGAUUCCUUUCUGCCUCGGUCACGAUGUGGCUGCGAGUGAUUUCCUUGAGCGAGGUGCAGCCACUCAGUGCCAUGGUGAGC
rnacentral:lncRNA from 1 species